AAAUUGAAGAGUUUGAUCAUGGCUCAGAUUGAACGCUGGCGGCAGGCCUAACACAUGCAAGUCGAACGGUAACAGGAAGCAGCUUGCUGCUUCGCUGACGAGUGGCGGACGGGUGAGUAAUGUCUGGGAAACUGCCUGAUGGAGGGGGAUAACUACUGGAAACGGUGGCUAAUACCGCAUAACGUCGCAAGACCAAAGAGGGGGACCUUCGGGCCUCUUGCCAUCAGAUGUGCCCAGAUGGGAUUAGCUUGUUGGUGAGGUAACGGCUCACCAAGGCGACGAUCCCUAGCUGGUCUGAGAGGAUGACCAGCCACACUGGAACUGAGACACGGUCCAGACUCCUACGGGAGGCAGCAGUGGGGAAUAUUGCACAAUGGGCGCAAGCCUGAUGCAGCCAUGCCGCGUGUAUGAAGAAGGCCUUCGGGUUGUAAAGUACUUUCAGCGGGGAGGAAGGUGUUGCGGUUAAUAACCGCAGCAAUUGACGUUACCCGCAGAAGAAGCACCGG
rnacentral:rRNA from 2 species